ACAGCGGUGUGGCGGUUGUUCUAAAUCGUUGCUCCUCUGACUUCUGCGCCUCGACUUUCCAAACUGGAAUUUUCAAACCUGCAGCUCUUCGCGCCAGACAUAUUACUUAGUUUUACGGAAGUGUUCAUCAGGAUCGAUCUCUACAAUUCAGGAUGUUCCAUCUGAUUGAAUUCUUGGACAGCAAAACAGUAGCAGUCGUGCCACAAAGCUGGUACAGUGGUGGUGGCUGCGUUUGGCCAGAUUACCCGAGGGAUGAAAGGGUGGACAAGGC